rnacentral:lncRNA from 1 species
UAAAAAUGCAAAAAGACAAUAAAUUAAUUAAGACAUGUAGUGUCAAUCAAUGUAACCUUGAAUCCAAAAUGUUACACCAAAACUCAAAUAAAAAAUAUUCACUUAGCAUGGUUACAUCUAAACUUAAAAAUAGUAGAAAAAAUGAUCUAUAUCUAUUAUUACGCAUCUAAAAAAAAUAUAACCCUUCACCCUCAUGAAAUAGAUAUGCUGCACGUUCUCACAACGUAUUAUUGAAUUGUUGCUCAACUACCUUCAGCUUAUUUUGUAUCAUUUGCUCCAUCUUCACUCGAACUGCAUAUUCUAACUUUCGAGUAGCACGUUCUACUUCUAACUCUUUCUCUAUACUGCAUACAUUGGAAGGUAGUUGACAUGGUGAAAAAUAUCGAGUCUUGUAUAGAUAUGAAAUCAUUCAAUAAUAUGCAUUUUAAAGUUUGGAUGCCUCAGUCCCCAUCUCAUCCUACAAACACAAUCCACAAGAGAUAUAAAACAGUCCAUAAAAUCAAAAUAUGCAAGAAAUAUAAUACAACCGUACACGAGAAAUAAAAUAUGUAUGCAUCAUACUCUAAUUUGCACGCCUUUAGUGAACUGUACAUAUUCCUUCAGUAUGGUUAUAACAACUUCUCCACUCAAUUUGGCAAUGGACGUGUAUAAUUGAUUGUAUAUUGAAAAAUCAAUAUAAAGUAAAACCUCAUUCCAGUCAUCCAUACAAUUUAAAGAGAAUUUUAACCAAGGCAUUAGUUUUGAAAUCUCAACACACUUAUAAACCAUGAAUAAUUGAAGAGAAAUAUGCAUAGAUAGAGACUGAAGCAAUAAGUUAACCAAGUUGAAAUGGAAAUAUAAAAACUGAGAUAUAGGAAAGUCUUACGCCUGAAUAAUAAAAUAAGAAACAGAUUCUAAUUAUUUACUCCAACCACACCAAAAAUAGGUGGAGCUAGUUCGAAGCCCAAUAUACUAAUUAAUGGGGGUAGCAUUUUUUAGCUCCCUGAUUCGAUUAAGAGCUUGUUCACAUGUAUCUCGAACUUCUUGAUAUCGAUCCAAUUGGAAACUAGUCUCCAAAACUGGAAUACUUGUCUCUAAACAAGAUGCACCAAGAGAUUCUGUAGCCUUUAGGCGAACAAUGAGAUGCAAUGAAAGAUUAUCUACAACAGCUUUUAAUGCAGGGAUAGCAUCAGAUUUUUGCAUCCAACCCAACCUAUAUGAGGCCUCAUAUGCCAGCAGGGUUGAAUCAUCCCUCAUUGCUUUGAUGAGGGAGUUGAGGGCAGGGGAAUUUAAAUUUGUUAAUCAUCUAAUCAUGCUCUACACUGUCAUAGCAUAAGAGCAAGCAAAUACUAGCACUACACUGUCAUAGCAUAAGAGCAAGCAAUGGAAACAGGAAACAAAAUAGCGAAAGGAGAGAAGGAAUUUCAUAACACAAAUUCAUCAAUCACCAGCAGCAAAAGGAGGGCCACCAACAUAGCGUAUCGACCAGCAUAGCAAGACUUUCCACAUUGUUAAUAUUGACCAACAUAAACAUCAUAGUACAAGUGAUACAAAUGCAAGAAAAACUCAUCCGACUACUGGUACCAUAAACCACUUAAAGCAAAAUAGAAUCUAAUUUAAAUUCCUUAUCCUUGAGCAUGAUUAGAUGAUUAACAAAUUAAAUAGGUUUUUGCAUCCAACUCAAACUAUAUGCAGCCUCACAUGCUCAAACUGAAAUCUCUAAAUCACUCUAAAAUUGGUUGGUUUUCUUUUUUCUUUUUAUUUUUUUUAAUCAUAAACAAACACGUAACUUGUCUCGUGAAAUUAUCAUUUAAUAUCACCGUAUUGUCAAGUAAAUGGAGGUUAAAAAUCGGUUCUAUUUGGCAUUAUUUUAGAAAUGAUUAAAAACAAACCUUUAGACGGCCAUAUAAUGGAUCUGAUCCUAACUCUUUCAAAGUUGCAUCACAUUUGUGAAACCCUGAAAUUCCUCUCAAAAAAUGGGGACAGAUGCCUUACUCCAACUGGGCAUUAUCUUUUUCACCCUAGGCAUCGUCUACGCCCUGCACAGCCUCCCCAAACGUGCCCUAACCAAGCUCUGCUCUAAGGCCCACCCUAACACCCAAAUCCACCGCCACUUCAUUCAGGGAGCUCAGUUCCUAUCACGAGCCCGAUAGUCCAAAAACAAAUCCACCGCCUUCAACCUCACUAAAUCCGCCGCCAACGAGGCCGACAAGGCCUUGGCCCUCGAGUCGAAAGAUCCCGCAGAGCACAUCCUCAAGGCCAUGGCAUUGGAUCUUAUGGGCCACAAGAACUUGGUCCUCAGAAGCUUGGACUUAGCACUGUCGCCACCGGUAAUGAAGAUGUUGAAAUUGGUUGGUUUUCAUCCAACAACAGAUCACAUAAAAAUUCCAUGGAAAACCCCUUUGUCAAAAUCCAUAUUGAACGCAAAUAGCAAGAGGAGGAGGAAUUUAAUUGCUAAACCGAUGGACGAUGACAUAUAUAAAUGGAAUAAACUACAAACUUUAAUAUUUGAUAUAAUCUUGGAAUGGGCAUACUUGGAAGACAGAUUGAAGAAUAUCACAUAUAUCUGUAGAUGAAGUCGAAAUUCGCAUCAACCGAAGAAUUUGAACUAGGUUUGGGCCAAUUAAAAAGAUGAAACAAAGGGAGGGAAUGAAUUUUGGGGAAAAUUUUUUGAGGCAAAGGAGCGUGUAAGACGGCAAAUUUAGAGAGGGAAUGACAAAUUUUGGGGGAAAACGUUGGACGGUUGGAGGCAAAAGAGAAAGUGG